rnacentral:rRNA from 1 species
CUAAGAAUAUUCCGCAAUGGGGGAAACCCUGAUGCAGCGACGCCGCGUGAGUGAAGAAGUAUUUCGGUAUGUAAAGCUCUAUCAGCAGGGAAGAAAAUGACGGUACCUGACUAAGAAGCCCCGGCUAACUACGUGCCAGCAGCCGCGGUAAUACGUAGGGGGCAAGCGUUAUCCGGAUUUACUGGGUGUAAAGGGAGCGUAGACGGUAAAGCAAGUCUGAAGUGAAAGCCCGGGGCUCAACCCCGGGACUGCUUUGGAAACUGUUUAACUAGAGUGCUGGAGAGGUAAGCGGAAUUCCUAGUGUAG